rnacentral:rRNA from 1 species
UCUUCGGAGUUAGUGGCGGACGGGUGAGUAACACGUGGGAACGUGCCUUUUGGUUCGGAAUAACUCAGGGAAACUUGUGCUAAUACCGAAUGUGCCCUUCGGGGGAAAGAUUUAUCGCCAUUAGAGCGGCCCGCGUCUGAUUAGCUAGUUGGUGAUGUAACGGCUCACCAAGGCGACGAUCAGUAGCUGGUCUGAGAGGAUGACCAGCCACACUGGGACUGAGACACGGCCCAGACUCCUACGGGAGGCAGCAGUGGGGAAUCUUGCGCAAUGGGCGAAAGCCUGACGCAGCCAUGCCGCGUGAAUGAUGAAGGUCUUAGGAUUGUAAAAUUCUUUCACCGGGGACGAUAAUGACGGUACCCGGAGAAGAAGCCCCGGCUAACUUCGUGCCAGCAGCCGCGGUAAUACGAAGGGGGCUAGCGUUGCUCGGAAUUACUGGGCGUAAAGGGCGCGUAGGCGGAUCGUUAAGUCAGGGGUGAAAUCCCGGGGCUCAACCUCGGAACUGCCCUUGAUACUGGCGAUCUUGAGUAUGAGAGAGGUAUGUGGAACUCCGAGUG